rnacentral:snRNA from 1 species
GGUAAGAAUUGAAAUGAUGGGG